rnacentral:lncRNA from 1 species
UGUCACCAAUAACUGUUAGGUGAGGUGGCAUGUGAAUUGGUGGGACCGCAGUACCCACUAGAAACCCUAGUCGUGUAGGAUUUCCGUUUUCCUACCAGGGGAGUGUGAGGAAUUCGAGAAAAUAGUGGGAGUUACAUUUGUUCUAAAAGAUCUUAGAACAGAUUAGGAUCAAGUACAAAAGUCUAACUAGAAUCUUUACUCUCUGCAGAUACAAUGUCAGCUUCAAACCCUUUGACCCGUAUUCUUGAGACCAACCGACUGACCAGAACCAAUUACAAGGACUGGCUAAGAAACCUCAAAAUUGUUUUGGACUGUGAGAAAAUAGGCUACAUACUCGAUUCUG